GCAGUGGUGGUUCAGUGGUUAAGGCACUGGGUUACUGAUCCGAAGGUUGGGGAUUUAAGCCCCACCACUGCC